CUUCUUCUUCGUCUUCUUUCUUCUUCA
rnacentral:sRNA from 1 species